ACUGCUCAGUAACACGUGGCUAAUCUGCCCUUAGGACGAGAACAACCCCGGGAAACUGGGGCUAACUCUCGAUAGGCGAAGAACUCUGGAAUGAGUCUUUACCUAAAAAGCUUCACGUUAUCCUCGUGAAGUCGCCUAAGGAUGAGGCCGCGACCGAUCAGGUUGUUGGCGAGGUAAUGGCUCACCAAGCCUUUUACCGGUGCGGGCCGUGAGAGCGGGAGCCCGGAGAUGGGCACUGAGACAAGGGCCCAGGCCCUACGGGGCGCAGCAGUCGCGAAAACUUUGCAAUAAGCGAAAGCUUGACAGGGCUAUCCCGAGUGCCAUCCGCUGAGGAAGGCUUUUACCCAGUCUAGAACGCUGGGGGAAUAAGGAGAGGGCAAGUCUGGUGUCAGCCGCCGCGGUAAUACCAGCUCUCCGAGUGGUGUGGAUGUUUAUUGGGCCUAAAGCAUCCGUAGCUGGCUAGGUCAGUCCCUUGUUAAAUCCACCGAAUUAAUCGUUGGAUUGCGGGGGAUACUGCUUGGCUAGGGGACGAGAGAGGCAGACGGUAUUUUCGGGGUAGGGGUGAAAUCCUAUAAUCCCGGGAAGACCACCAGUGGCGAAGGCUGUCUGCUAGAACGCGCCCGACGGUGAGGGAUGAAAGCUGGGGGAGCGAACCGGAUUAGAUACCCGGGUAGUCCCAGCUGUAAACGAUGCAGACUAGGUGUUUGGACGGCCACGUGCCGUUCUAGUGCCGCAGGGAAGCUGUUAGGUCUGCCGCCUGGGGAGUACGAUCGCAAGAUUGAAACUUAAAGGAAUUGGCGGGGGAGCAC
rnacentral:rRNA from 1 species